AGACGAGCUGAACGCCAACCAGGAGAUCAGAAUGAUCGCAUCUGCUCCUGCCACUUUAAGGAUGGUAAGAAGGAGGGGGACCCUGCAUAUUUUGCAUGGAAUGAAGGAAAGGCCAUGGAUUUCUCUGAUCCUGAAUGUACAAAAAGGAGGAAAAAACUCAAAAGUGAGGAGUCCCUGUCAUCUUCACAGAUGGACCAGUUGCAGAUUCCACAAGCACCAAAAUGUCAAUAUCAAGAAAAAUUGAUAUCAGAGCACAACUACUGAGCAUCCUGCACAUUUAACUGUACUAA